GGAAUCAGGAAAAGUAACAGGUCUUCUGUUUAAACUUGUGGGAGAAGGAAACAGCUUCGGUACAUUACCAGACCUGAAUAAAAAAGUUGUUGAAAGAACGGUUUCAUUUGGAGACACGUGUCAGGAUGUCAUGACGUGUUUUGGUUCACCUUGUAAAGUAUUUUAUAAAGCUGAAGAUAAGAUGCGUAUCCAUUCUCCCUAUACAUACAAACUUAAUUAAUCAAAUAGAUCCUUCUAUUUCUUCAACUAAUUUUACACUUGGCGUGGGCGAACUCGAUGUUAAAUUCGAGACUAGUGGACAAAAUUUCUCUUGGUAUUGUGGAAGCUCGAGAAGAGAAGUGGUUUUGGACAAACCGGCAAAUAAAGCACGAGUGUAUUAUCGAAAAAAUGAAGACGUAGAAAUAUUCAUUGAAGAUUGUCCCCAGGUUAAGUCUAAAAAAUUCAGUGUUACAGCUGGUAAAAGUGUUUGUUACGACGAAAGUUUUUCCUAUGCGUGUCCUGGGAUAGAAGGAAAAAGUCAUCCUUGCAGUUAUGAACUAACAAUUAACAAAAAAAAACAACUAAAGUAUCUCAGGUAUCUGUCGGAUUGACCCUGAAAAUCGUAGCAAAAUUCAAAAUAUCUUUUUCUGCAUCAAGGACACAAAAAAUCGUACACACUUAUGAGUACCAAGAGAAAUGGUACUUUGUCGUACCUGCUGGAUAUACGUUUUGCUCAUAUAGAAAAGCCACAAUUAGUUUUGGAAAUCAGUCAUACUACUGUUCCGGAACAGACUUCAAAUUUGUUAAGUUUGGUACUAUUUGCUCGGGGAAUAGAUUAUGUAAUAAAAAAGAAAGGUCAUGUUUCCAUGACGAACACAACAUCAGUAACAGGCCAAAUUUUCAUUUCGCUUUCUGUUUUAUCAUACUCUGUGUUUUUCUUUUCAUCUAAUGUAAAACGUUCAUUGCCAACACCCACUCAUUUAUUAACAGCUAAUGUGUAGUUUCUAGUAUCAUAAAUAUAAAUGGACAAUAUAAUGUUUCUGUGAAGAAAUGAAAGCUUAGUUUCAUGUAUAAACACGAGAUGUAUUUUGUAAACUUACUUUAAGUACGUCGCAAAAUCCUUAAGGCAUUUUGCGUAAAAACUAGCACAGUAACUAUGAAUAUGUAGUUGAUUAGCAUUUAUGUAUGUGUGUGACAAUAAUAAAGUCAUUAGUAAACUCAA